UACGGAGGGUGCAAGCGUUAAUCGGAAUUACUGGGCGUAAAGCGUGCGUAGACGGUUAUUUAAGUCGGGUGUGAAAGCCCCGGGCUCAACCUGGGAAUUGCAUUCGAGACUGAAUAGCUAGGGUACGGUAGAGGGAAGUGGAAUUUCCGGUGUAGCGGUGAAAUGCGUAGAUAUCGGAAGGAACAUCAGUGGCGAAAGCGACUUCCUGGACCAGUACCGACGUUCAGGCACGAAAGCGUGGGGAGCAAACAGG
rnacentral:rRNA from 1 species